ACGGGUGAGUAAUGUCUGGGAAACUGCCUGAUGGAGGGGGAUAACUACUGGAAACGGUAGCUAAUACCGCAUAACGUCGCAAGACCAAAGAGGGGGACCUUCGGGCCUCUUGCCAUCAGAUGUGCCCAGAUGGGAUUAGCUAGUAGGUGGGGUAACGGCUCACCUAGGCGACGAUCCCUAGCUGGUCUGAGAGGAUGACCAGCCACACUGGAACUGAGACACGGUCCAGACUCCUACGGGAGGCAGCAGUGGGGAAUAUUGCACAAUGGGCGCAAGCCUGAUGCAGCCAUGCCGCGUGUAUGAAGAAGGCCUUCGGGUUGUAAAGUACUUUCAGCGGGGAGGAAGGUGCUGAGGUUAAUAACCUCAGCAAUUGACGUUACCCGCAGAAGAAGCACCGGCUAACUCCGUGCCAGCAGCCGCGGUAAUACGGAGGGUGCAAGCGUUAAUCGGAAUUACUGGGCGUAAAGCGCACGCAGGCGGUCUGUCAAGUCGGAUGUGAAAUCCCCGGGCUCAACCUGGGAACUGCAUUCGAAACUGGCAGGCUAGAGUCUUGUAGAGGGGGGUAGAAUUCCAGGUGUA
rnacentral:rRNA from 1 species